rnacentral:rRNA from 1 species
GACGAACGCUGGCGGCGUGCUUAACACAUGCAAGUCGAACGGUAAGGCCCCAGCUUGCUGGGGUACACGAGUGGCGAACGGGUGAGUAACACGUGGGUGACCUGCCCCGCACUUCGGGAUAAGCCUGGGAAACUGGGUCUAAUACCGGAUAGGACCGCACCGUGAGGGUGUGGUGGAAGGUUUUUCGGUGUGGGAUGGGCCCGCGGCCUAUCAGCUUGUUGGUGGGGUAAUGGCCUACCAAGGCGGCGACGGGUAGCCGGCCUGAGAGGGUGGACGGCCACAUUGGGACUGAGACACGGCCCAGACUCCUACGGGAGGCAGCAGUGGGGAAUAUUGCACAAUGGGCGGAAGCCUGAUGCAGCGACGCCGCGUGGGGGAUGACGGCCUUCGGGUUGUAAACUCCUUUCACCAUCGACGAAGGUUUUCUGACGGUAGAUGGAGAAGAAGCACCGGCUAACUACGUG